GCGCGAAAACUUUACAAUGCGGGAAACCGUGAUAAGGGGACACCGAGUGCCAGCAACAUUUGUUGGCUGUCCAGGUGUGUAAACUACACCUGUUAGCAAGGGCCGGGCAAGACCGGUGCCAGCCGCCGCGGUAACACCGGCGGCCCGAGUGGUGAUCGUGAUUAUUGGGUCUAAAGGGUCCGUAGCCGGUUUGGUCAGUCCUCCGGGAAAUCUGACGGCUUAACCGUUAGGCUUUCGGGGGAUACUGCCAGGCUUGGAACCGGGAGAGGUAAGAGGUACUACAGGGGUAGGAGUGAAAUAUUGUAAUCCCUGUGGGACCACCUGUGGCGAAGUCGUCUUACCAGAACGGGUUCGACGGUGAGGGACGAAAGCUGGGGGCACGAACCGGAUUAGAUACCCGGGUAGUCCCAGCCGUAAACGAUGCUCGCUAGGUGUCAGGCAUGGCGCGACCGUGUCUGGUGCCGCAGGGAAGCCGUGAAGCGAGCCACCUGGGAAGUA
rnacentral:rRNA from 1 species